rnacentral:rRNA from 1 species
GACGAACGCUGGCGGCGCGCCUAACACAUGCAAGUCGAACGGAGCUAUUUCGACAGAUCCCUUCGGGUGACAUUGGCUUAGCUUAGUGGCGAACGGGUGAGUAACACGUGAGGAACCUGCCCUUCAGAGGGGGACGAACAGUUGGAAACGACUGCUAAUACCGCAUAAGACCACAGAGCCGCAUGGCUCGGGGGUCAAAGGAGAAAUCCGCUGAAGGAUGGCCUCGCGUCCGAUUAGCUAGUUGGCGGGGUAACGGCCCACCAAGGCGACGAUCGUAGACGGACCGUCGAGAGGUGGUAUACGGGCCACAUUGGGGACUGAGACACGGGCCCAG